CCAAGCUUCUCGGUGUUGACGCCGAGGAGCUCUACAGGAACUUCUGCAAGCCCAAGAUCAAGGUCGGUGCCGAGUUCGUCACCAAGGGUAUGGGCGUCAAUGCUGUCAACUACAACGUCGGUGCCAUGGCCAAGGGUCUCUUCUCACGUGUGUUCUCAUGGCUCGUCAAGAAGUGCAACAUGACACUUGAAACUGGCCAGACCCGUGCUAUGUUCAUCGGUGUGCUUGAUAUUGCCGGCUUCGAGAUCUUCGAUUUCAACGGUUUCGAGCAGAUCUGUAUCAACUUCUGUAACGAGAAGCUGCAACAGUUCUUUAACCAUCACAUGUUCGUGCUGGAACAGGAAGAAUACGCAAAGGAGGGUAUUGUUUGGCAGUUUGUUGACUUCGGCAUGGAUCUACAGGCUUGCAUUGAGCUUUUCGAGAAGAAAAUGGGUAUCCUCUCCAUCCUUGAGGAAGAGUCCAUGUUCCCCAAAGCUACUGACAAGACCUUCGAGGAGAAGCUGAACAACAACCAUCUCGGAAAGUCUCGCUGCUUCAUCAAGCCCAAGCCUCCAAAGCCCGGUCAGCCUGACAACCACUUUGCCAUCGUUCACUACGCUGGCACUGUGUCCUACAACCUGACUGGCUGGCUCGAGAAGAACAAGGAUCCUCUCAACGACACCGUCGUCGACCAGCUCAAGAAGGCCUCCAACGCCCUCACAGUCGAGAUCUUCGCUGACCAUCCCGGCCAGUCUGGUGAUGCAGGCGGCAAGGGAGGAAAAGGUGGCAAACAACAAACUGGCUUCAAAACUGUGUCUUCCGGUUACAAGGAUCAGCUAGCCAACUUGAUGAAAACGCUCAACGCCACUCACCCUCACUUCAUCCGCUGCAUUGUGCCCAACGAAUUCAAGAAGCCUGGUGAAGUCGAUGCUGGCCUCAUCAUGCAUCAGCUGACCUGCAAUGGUGUACUUGAGGGCAUCCGUAUUUGCCAGAAGGGCUUCCCCAACAGGAUGCCGUAUACUGACUUCAAGCAGCGCUACAACAUUCUGGCUGCUCAGGAGAUGAUCGAGGCGAAAGACAACAAGAAGGCUGCAGAAGCUUGCUUCCAGAAGGCCGGUCUUGAUCCUGAGUUGUAUCGCUGCGGUAACACUAAGGUGUUCUUCCGUGCCGGUGUCUUAGGUAGGCUCGAGGAGAUCCGCGAAGACCGUGUGGUCCUGCUCCUCACCUGGUUCCAAGCAUGGGUUCGGGGCUACAUCAGCCGCAAAUUCUACUCCAAGAUGCAGAAGCAGCGCACCUCCCUCCUUGUCAUGCAGCGCAACCUUAGGAAGUUCAAAGUCAUGCGAUCCUGGCUCUGGUACGAGCUGUGGAUUAAGCUCAGACCCAGGCUCUCUGCCAGUCGAGCUGAGGAUGAGAUGGUAAAACUCGAAGAGACUGCCAAAAAGGCUGAGGCCGAAUACGAAAAAGAGGUUAAGGUCCGCCAAGAACUUGAAGUCAAGAACGCUGCUCUUCUUGAGGAAAGAGCUGAGCUCAUGCUGGCUCUGGACUCUUCCAAAGGUGGUAUGUCCGAGUACAUGGACAAGCAAGCCAAAAUGCAGGCACAGAAGGCAGAAAUUGAGGCACAACUCAACGAAACACUGGAACGCCUUCGCAAAGAAGAAGAAGCUCGCAACCAGAUUGCCAAUGGCAAGAAGAAGUGUGAACAAGAGGUCGCAAACCUUAAGAAGGAACUUGAGGAACUUGAGCUGGCUGUGCAGAAGGGUGAACAGGAUAAAGGCACUAAGGAGGAACAAAUUCACAACCUCAAUGACGAGAUCGCCCACCAGGAAGAACUCAUUACUAAAGUUAACAAGGAGAAGAAACACCUUCAGGAGUGCAAUCAAAAGACUGCUGAGGAUAUCCAGUGUAUUGAGGAUAAGUGCAACCACCUUAGCAAGAUGAAGACUAAGUUGGAGUCCACCCUUGACGAACUCGAAGAUUCUCUUGAGCGUGAGAAGAAGCUUCGCGCUGAAGUUGAGAAGUCGAAGAGGAAGGUUGAGGGUGACCUCAGGCUGACUCAGGAAGCUGUUACUGAUUUGGAGCGUAAUUUCAAAGAACUCGAAGUGGCUGUUGAACGUAAAGACAAGGAGAUUUCUGCCAUUACAUGUAAAAUCGAGGAUGAACAGGCCCUUAUUUAUAGGGAUCAAAGGCAGAUCAAAGAACUUCAGGCUCGCCUCGAAGAACUCGAAGAAGAAGUUGAACAUGAACGUCAAGCACGCAGCAAGGCUGAAAAGGCUAAGAAUCUCCUCUCUCGCGAACUGGGAGAACUUGGAGAGCGACUGGACGAAGCCGGUGGUGCCACUGCCACGCAGAUCGAGAUCAAUAAGAAGCGAGAGAGUGAACUGGCCAAGGUCCGCCGUGACAUCGAAGAAGCCAAUAUGCAGCAUGAGGCUGCUCUUGCCACUCUCCGUAAGAAACAUAAUGAUGCUGUAGCUGAAAUGUCCGAACAGAUCGACUAUCUUAAUAAGAUGAAAGCCAGGGCAGAAAAGGACAAAGAUGCCAUGAAACGCGAUGCUGACGAUUCAAGAGCUUCCAUGGACACUCUUGCUCGGGACAAGACUGCUGCAGAGAAGACAACGAAGCAGCUGCAGCAUCACUACAGUGAGCUCUGUGCAAGGCUUGAUGAGGUUAACCGCACUCUCAGUGACUAUGACGCCGCCAAGAAGAAGCUUGCUUGUGAGAAUGGUGACCUUGUCCGCCAGCUGGAGGAGGCCGAGAACCAGGUUGGCCAGCUUUCCAGGCUAAAGCUCUCUCUUACAAAUCAGCUUGACGACACAAGGAAACUUGCUGAUGAAGAAAGCAGGGCACGAGCCACUCUCCUGGGCAAGUUCCGCAACUUAGAACACGACAUUGAAGCUCUUCGUCAGCAACUCGACGAGGAGAAUGAUGCCAAGGGAGGCGUUUUGCGAAUGCUCUCCAAGGCUAACGCUGAGGCUCUCAUGUGGCGCUCCAAGUAUGAGUCUGAGGGUGUUGCACGCGCUGAGGAAAUCGAAGCUUCUCGCAUGAAGCUCGCCGCUCGUCUCGAAGAAGCCGAAAUGCAGAUUGAGUCUCUCAAUGUUAAGAACUUGCAUCUGGAGAAGACCAAGAUGCGAGCUGCUGCUGAGCUGGAUGACCUCCAAGUCGCUGCUGAUCGUGCACAGACUCUGGCCAACUCCGCUGAGAAGAAACAGAAGAACUUCGAUAAGAUCAUCUCUGAAUGGAAGCUGAAGGUCGACGACCUUUCUGCUGAGUUUGAUGCUUCUCAGAAGGAAUGCCGCAACUACGCCACCGAACACUUCCGUCUGAAGGCUGCCUAUGAGGAAAAUAUUGAACAACUUGAUUCUAUUCGUCGUGAGAAUAAGAAUCUCAAUGAUGAAAUUCGGGACUUGAUGGAUCAGAUCGGUGAUGGUGGCCGAGCAUACCAUGAGGCUCAGAAGAACGCCAGGCGUCUUGAACUCGAGAAGGAAGAGCUUCAGGCUGCUCUUGAGGAGGCUGAGGCAGCCCUAGAACAGGAAGAGAACAAGGUCCUCCGAACACAGCUUGAACUAAGUCAAGUCAGACAAGAAAUAGACAGGCGUAUUCAGGAGAAGGAGGAGGAAUUCGACAACACUCGUAAGUGUCACCAAAGAGCUAUUGAUUCCAUGCAAGCUUCUCUUGAGGUUGAAGCCAAGGGAAGGCGAGGCUCUUCGCAUGAAGAAGAAACUUGAGUCGACAUCAACGAGCUUGAGAUUGCCCUUGACCAUGCCAACAAGGCUAAUUCUGAUCUUCACAAGCAUUAUAGGAAGGUUCAGGAUGAGAUCAAGGAUAUGGAGGCCCGCGUUAAGGAAGAGCAACGUCUUGCUUCUGAAUAUCGAGAGCAGUACGGUAUUGCUGAACGCCGUUACAACGCCCUCUAUGGCGAACUGCAGGAAUCCCGAACUCUCCUUGAGCAAUCCGAUCGCGGUCGUCGUCAUGCCGAGACUGAGCUUAACGAUGCACGUGAACAAAUCAACAACCUCACUGGCCAGAAUGCAACUGUUAGUGCCGCUAAGAGGAAGCUAGAGGGAGAAAUGCAGACUCUUCAGGCUGACCUUGAGGAAAUGCUCAGCGAAGCCAGGAACUCGGAAGAAAAGGCGAAGAAGGCCAUGUUAGAUGCUGCUCGUCUUGCUGACGAGCUUCGCUCUGAGCAGGAGCACGCCUGUAACCAGGAGAAGAUGCGCAAGGGCUUGGAAGUUACCGUCAAUAAUCUCCAGACCCGGCUUGAGGAGAGCGAGGCUGCUGCCUUGAAGACUGGUAAGAAGGCUGUCAGUGAACUUGAAGCUCGUAUUCGUGAACUUGAGUCUGCGCUGGAUGAUGAGACUCGCCGUCAUGCCGAUUCUCAGAAGAACCUGAGGAAGUGCGAGAGGCGCAUCAAGGAGCUCGCCUUCCAGACUGAAGAGGACAAGAAGAACCACGACAGGAUGCAGGACCUCGUCGAUAAGCUCCAGCAGAAGAUCAAGACCUACAAGCGCCAGAUCGAGGAGGCUGAGGAGAUCGCCGCCCUCAACCUGGCCAAGUUCCGCAAGGCUCAGCAGGAGCUCGAGGAAUCUGGCUAAAUAAUAAUGUCACAUCUAGGCAUAUGCGAGAUGUUAAUAAAUCAAUAAGCA